GUUGUGUCAUGUGUACUAUUGUUUUUCUGUUUGUCUUUUUCAUUUUUAGCCAUGGCGUUGUCAGUUUGUUUUAGAUUUAUGAGUUUGACUGUCCCUUUGGUAUCUUUCGUCCCUCUUUUACAUAUGAAAUGCUGCUAAAAAAAUACACAAAAGAAAACUACCACUGUACAAUUGCAUUUUGUGUGGCAAGUAAGUGUUGUAAAUUUGCGAUUUGAAAUUAAAGGCAAAUGAUUCAAAUAUUUAAAUCACGAGUCGAUCAUAAAUUAGUUAAUAGUUUACUAAAUUUAUCAUAUAUACCAAAAUAGGUCUUGCAAUUAUUAAUUAUCCAAAUGAGAGUUGUUGAUUAGUGGCAUCUUUCAAGGUUAUGUAUUAGGUGAAACAUAAAAUACCUCUGGAUUUGCAAUGUCACUUGAUGAUAAAGUCGUUGUUGUUGAAAAAGUACUUCUUUCAUUAUUAAAAACAUGAUUAAAACAUUUUGCUGUAUAGAAAUUCCAAAGACAGCUACUUCGAGCAUUGUUUUCAUGUAGUCCCAAUGUACAGUUGCAAUGAUUGAGUACAGUGAUUCAUUUUAGUACAUGUAGUCUUAAUCAAAUUUAAUAUGUUCUGUUUUAAGUAUGGACAUUUUAGUGAUCGAACAACACACCCUGUGUGAACCUCCAUAACAAAUUUUAAAAUUACGAAAAAUGGAUUAAACAACAUACUGAUUAAACACUAUCAAGUAUAAGACAUGUGUCAUCUGUUCUUUUGUUUUGGCAACACAACAAAAACAUGAGCAUGGGUUGCUGUACAUUUUAAAAAUGUCUAAGACUAAAGAAUUGUUAAACGUAGUACUGAAACUAAAUAAAACAAAUAUUGUUCUCUAACCGUUUAAUAUUUCCAAGAACGCGACAAUGUAUAAUGACGUCAUAUAAAAGUUCAUAGAAAGGUAUCUUUCUAUAGAUCAUUGAAUAGAACUUGAAAAAUCGACUGCAGUCUUAUAACCAAUGAUACAAAAGGUACCAAUUUUUCUGCAACAGAUAAGCAUUUCGACAAUGAAGGACUCUUCAGUGAUCGCGAGGCCAAAAU
rnacentral:lncRNA from 1 species